UACGUAGGGUGCAAGCGUUAAUCGGAAUUACUGGGCGUAAAGCGUGCGCAGGCGGUUUUGUAAGACAGUGGUGAAAUCCCCGGGCUCAACCUGGGAACUGCCAUUGUGACUGCAAAGCUAGAGUGCGGCAGAGGGGGAUGGAAUUCCGCGUGUAGCAGUGAAAUGCGUAGAUAUGCGGAGGAACACCGAUGGCGAAGGCAAUCCCCUGGGCCUGCACUGACGCUCAUGCACGAAAGCGUGGGGAGCAAACAGGAUUAGAAACCCGGGUAGU
rnacentral:rRNA from 1 species